AGAGUUUGAUCCUGGCUCAGGAUGAACGCUAGCGGCAGGCUUAACACAUGCAAGUCGAGGGACUCAGCAAUGGGGACCGGCAAACGGGUGCGGAACACGUACAGAAUCUACCUUUAUCUGGGGCAUAGCCCGAAGAAAUUCGGAUUAAUACCCCAUAAUAUUAUUAAGUGGCAUCACUUUGAUAAUUAAAGAUCCGUCGG
rnacentral:rRNA from 1 species